GACAAUUCCUAUUUGUUUCAUUUUUAUCGGAUAUACUAGGGUAUGUUGUAUAAACUAAACUUCUUUCUUAAAAAAUAAUGUGAGGUUAAGUUGAAUUUUCAAUUCAUUCAUAAUUUACUUGAAAAGUGUGAUAAAUUAAAAGAAGUUUUAGUACGUAUUUAAAGUGAAAUAACUAAAUAAUUUUUAAAAUGAGUUGGAAAAUGUCAGAACCUUUUACAAGAAAUGGUGUGAUAAACAAUUUUCAGCAUAACAGUAAUGUAAGUGAGAUAAGCGGCUUUAUUGACUCUAUCGAGGGAACCAAGUAUGUUAAAGGGAAAAUCAAUGGAGCAUAAUUAUUAAUAAUGAUCAAGGACGUCGUAUUAGGGUUGUUUUCUAGUCAGAUCUGGCGGUCAAAUAUCUCCAGAAAACAAAAUUUCAUUCGAUUAUGUUAUUUGAAGAUAUUUACUGUCAAAGAAGACCCCUUAAUCGGAGAAUAAAUCAGGAAAAUUUAUAUCAUUUACAAUUGUUUGUCAAGUUCUACACAACAGUAAAUAUUUUUUUCGAGAUGUUCAAGCCAGAUUUGAUUUCACAACAAGCAACCUUAAAGGAUGUUUUUCUCAGGCAACAUCAAAUACAACGUAAGUUGUUUGUUUUCGAGUAUUUGUUGUCAUAACAUCUUUCAAUAUGAUGAUAAUUAGGCUUCAAAUCCAUUUUCGAUGUCCAGGGUUGUCUGCAAAACCCUUUACAUUAAGUAACAGUCCUCGUUACAGUUAUUGGUCAGGUAUUGUAAAUGAUCGUUACUCAUCAGUACGAGUACAUAUUUUGAAUCACAUGUUUGAUCUGGAUUUAAAAAUUGGCCAACUGAUUAGUUUUUUAGCUGAAUCGCAAUGUGAUCGUAUGUGAAUACAUGUAUUAAUAUAUCUUGAAUACACUAGAAUAAUUUACAGCAGAUUAUAUAAAUGAUUUAAUUAUUGUUCAGGAGAUGGUAAUUUUUUUUUAGCAGUAGUCGACACAAGAGACAUUCAAGUUUUUGAUGACAUAAUUACUGAAGAGAAGAUGCGAACAGAGGGUGGUUUGCUUCUGCCUGGUCAAUAAAGUGUAUAUCAAAUGCUGUACAUACAAAAAAUAAUGUUGUAUGCGUUAAUAUGCAUAUUUUUUUUCUUAUUAAAUGUCAAAAUUCCUUUUUUUUGAAUCAUUAAAAAUAAUUUAAAUCACAUCUAUUAAUCUACUGUACAUUCAUACGGUACCAAAAUAAAUUUUAUUACUAAUUGUAUCAUUAUUGUAACAUCGAAUUCGAUUUUUUCAUAUAGUAAUAUUUACCUAAAAACAUUUAAAUUAAUUUAUCAUUUGUA